AUCGGGCAGCACCCCCAGGCCACCGUGGCUAUGGCCAUGAUGGUGGUGGUGGUGGUGGUGGUGCGUGGAAGAAGCAGAUGAAGAGGAGGCAGAGGCCUGGCCUGUUGGCGGUGGUGGCAUCUGGAAGGGCCCCUUGCCCCGCUUGCUUCCAAAUAGGGAGCCCAGGAAGGAUGAGGAGUUGGAGACGGGCCUCUGGCUCUUGUACUCCUCUGGCGGCGGGGGUGGGGGCGGAGGUGGCAUCCUCUGGUGAGGGCGUGGACUGCUAAUAACAGACCCCUGG
rnacentral:lncRNA from 1 species